UGGAAAGAUGAAUCAAAGAAGGUAAUAAUCCUGUAGUCGAAAAUGUUGUCUCUCUUGAGUGGAUCCUGAGUACGACGGAGCACGUGAAAUUCCGUCGGAAUCUGGGAGGACCAUCUCCUAAGGCUAAAUACUCUCUAGUGACCGAUAGUGAACCAGUACCGUGAGGGAAAGGUGAAAAGCACCCCGGAAGGGGAGUGAAAUAGAACCUGAAACCGUGUGCUUACAAGUAGUCAGAGCCCGUUAAUGGGUGAUGGCGUGCCUUUUGUAGAAUGAACCGGCGAGUUACGAUUUGAUGCAAGGUUAAGCAGUAAAUGUGGAGCCGUAGCGAAAGCGAGUCUGAAUAGGGCGUUUAGUAUUUGGUCGUAGACCCGAAACCAGGUGAUCUACCCUUGGUCAGGUUGAAGUUCAGGUAACACUGAAUGGAGGACCGAACCGACUUACGUUGAAAAGUGAGCGGAUGAACUGAGGGUAGCGGAGAAAUUCCAAUCGAACCUGGAGAUAGCUGGUUCUCUCCGAAAUAGCUUUAGGGCUAGCCUCAAGUGAUGAUUAUUGGAGGUAGAGCACUGUUUGGACGAGGGGCCCCUCUCGGGUUACCGAAUUCAGACAAACUCCGAAUGCCAAUUAAUUUAACUUGGGAGUCAGAACAUGGGUGAUAAGGUCCGUGUUCGAAAGGGAAACAGCCCAGACCACCAGCUAAGGUCCCAAAAUAUAUGUUAAGUGGAAAAGGAUGUGGCGUUGCCCAGACAACUAGGAUGUUGGCUUAGAAGCAGCCAUCAUUUAAAGAGUGCGUAAUAGCUCACUAGUCGAGUGACACUGCGCCGAAAAUGUACCGGGGCUAAACAUAUUACCGAAGCUGUGGAUUGUCCUUUGGACAAUGGUAGGAGAGCGUUCUAAGGGCGUUGAAGCAUGAUCGUAAGGACAUGUGGAGCGCUUAGAAGUGAGAAUGCCGGUGUGAGUAGCGAAAGACGGGUGAGAAUCCCGUCCACCGAUUGACUAAGGUUUCCAGAGGAAGGCUCGUCCGCUCUGGGUUAGUCGGGUCCUAAGCUGAGGCCGACAGGCGUAGGCGAUGGAUAACAGGUUGAUAUUCCUGUACCACCUAUAAUCGUUUUAAUCGAUGGGGGGACGCAGUAGGAUAGGCGAAGCGUGCGAUUGGAUUGCACGUCUAAGCAGUAAGGCUGAGUAUUAGGCAAAUCCGGUACUCAUUAAGGCUGAGCUGUGAUGGGGAGAAGACAUUGUGUCUUCGAGUCGUUGAUUUCACACUGCCGAGAAAAGCCUCUAGAUAGAAAAUAGGUGCCCGUACCGCAAACCGACACAGGUAGUCAAGAUGAGAAUUCUAAGGUGAGCGAGCGAACUCUCGUUAAGGAACUCGGCAAAAUGACCCCGUAACUUCGGGAGAAGGGGUGCUCUUUAGGGUUAACGCCCAGAAGAGCCGCAGUGAAUAGGCCCAAGCGACUGUUUAUCAAAAACACAGGUCUCUGCUAAACCGUAAGGUGAUGUAUAGGGGCUGACGCCUGCCCGGUGCUGGAAGGUUAAGAGGAGUGGUUAGCUUCUGCGAAGCUACGAAUCGAAGCCCCAGUAAACGGCGGCCGUAACUAUAACGGUCCUAAGGUAGCGAAAUUCCUUGUCGGGUAAGUUCCGACCCGCACGAAAGGCGUAACGAUUUGGGCACUGUCUCAACGAGAGACUCGGUGAAAUCAUAGUACCUGUGAAGAUGCAGGUUACCCGCGACAGGACGGAAAGACCCCGUGGAGCUUUACUGUAGCCUGAUAUUGAAAUUCGGCACAGCUUGUACAGGAUAGGUAGGAGCCUUUGAAACGUGAGCGCUAGCUUACGUGGAGGCGCUGGUGGGAUACUACCCUAGCUGUGUUGGCUUUCUAACCCGCACCACUUAUCGUGGUGGGAGACAGUGUCAGGCGGGCAGUUUGACUGGGGCGGUCGCCUCCUAAAAGGUAACGGAGGCGCUCAAAGGUUCCCUCAGAAUGGUUGGAAAUCAUUCAUAGAGUGUAAAGGCAUAAGGGAGCUUGACUGCGAGACCUACAAGUCGAGCAGGGUCGAAAGACGGACUUAGUGAUCCGGUGGUUCCGCAUGGAAGGGCCAUCGCUCAACGGAUAAAAGCUACCCCGGGGAUAACAGGCUUAUCUCCCCCAAGAGUUCACAUCGACGGGGAGGUUUGGCACCUCGAUGUCGGCUCAUCGCAUCCUGGGGCUGUAGUCGGUCCCAAGGGUUGGGCUGUUCGCCCAUUAAAGCGGUACGCGAGCUGGGUUCAGAACGUCGUGAGACAGUUCGGUCCCUAUCCGUCGUGGGCGUAGGAAAUUUGAGAGGAGCUGUCCUUAGUACGAGAGGACCGGGAUGGACAUACCUCUGGUGUACCAGUUGUCGUGCCAACGGCAUAGCUGGGUAGCUAUGUGUGGACGGGAUAAGUGCUGAAAGCAUCUAAGCAUGAAGCCCCCCUCAAGAUGAGAUUUCCCAACUUCGGUUAUAAGAUCCCUCAAAGAUGAUGAGGUUAAUAGGUUCGAGGUGGAAGCAUGGUGACAUGUGGAGCUGACGAAUACUAA
rnacentral:rRNA from 1 species